rnacentral:rRNA from 1 species
GAUGAACGCUGGCGGCGUGCCUAACACAUGCAAGUCGAACGGAAAGGCCCUGCUUUUGUGGGGUGCUCGAGUGGCGCACGGGUGAGUAACACGUGAGUAUCCUGCCCUUGACUUUGUGAUAACUUCAGGAAACUGCGGCUAAUACCGGCUAGGAGCUCCUGCUGCAUGGUGGGGGUUGGAAAGUUUCGGCGGUUGGGGAUGGACUCGCGGCUUAUCAGCUUGUUGGUGGGGUAGUGGCUUACCAAGGCUUCGACGGGUAGCCGGCCUGAGAGGGUGAACGGCCACAUGGGGACUGAGGUACGGAGCAGACGGCUACGGGAGGCAGCAGGGGGGAAUAUUGCACAAUGGGCGGAAGCCUGAGGCAGAGACGCCGCGAGCGGGAAGACGGCCUUCGGGUGGUAAACCGCUGUCGCCUGAGACGAAGCGUGAGUGACGGUAAUGGGUAAAGAAGCACCGGCUAACUACGUG